GACGAACGCUGGCGGCGUGCUUAACACAUGCAAGUCACGGGGGGCCCGCAAGGGUCAACCGGCGAACGGGUGCGUAACACGUGAGCGACCUGCCCAAUUGCGGGGGAUAGCCGGCCCAACGGCCGGGUAAUACCGCAUACGCUUCCCUGGGGGCAUUCUUGGGGAAGGAAACCUACGGGGCGAUUGGAGGGGCUCGCGGCCUAUCAGCUAGUUGGCGAGGUAACGGCUCACCAAGGCGAUGACGGGUAGCUGGUCUGAGAGGAUGGCCAGCCACAUUGGGGACUGAGAGACGGCCCAGACUCCUACGGGAGGCAGCAGUGGGGAAUCUUGCGCAAUGGCCGAAAGGCUGACGCAGCGACGCCGCGUGGAGGAUGACGCCC
rnacentral:rRNA from 1 species